rnacentral:rRNA from 1 species
CGCGGCCUAUCAGCUUGUUGGUGAGGUAACGGCUCACCAAGGCAUCGACGGGUAGCUAGUCUGAGAGGACGAUCAGCCACACUGGGACUGAGACACGGCCCAGACUCCUACGGGAGGCAGCAGUAGGGAAUCUUGCGCAAUGGGCGAAAGCCUGACGCAGCAACGCCGCGUGGGGGAUGAAUGCCUUCGGGUUGUAAACCCCUUUCAGCAGGGACGAAAAUGACGGUACCUGCAGAAGAAGCUCCGGCCAACUACGUGCCAGCAGCCGCGGUAAUACGUAGGGAGCGAGCGUUGUCCGGAAUUAUUGGGCGUAAAGAGCUCGUAGGCGGUUCAGUAAGUCGGGUGUGAAAACUCAAGGCUCAACCUUGAGACGCCACUCGAUACUGCUGUGACUUGAGUCCGGUAGAGGAGUGUGGAAUUCCUGGUGUAGCGGUGAAAUGCGCAGAUAUCAGGAGGAACACCAGCGGCGAAGGCGGCACUCUGGGCCGGUACUGACGCUGAGGAGCGAAAGCAUGGGGAGCAAACAGGAUUAGAUACCCUGGUAGUCCAUGCCGUAAACGUUGGGCACUAGGUAUGGGAUCAUAUCAACGGAUUCCGUGCCGUAGCUAACGCAUUAAGUGCCCCGCCUGGGGAGUACGG